rnacentral:misc_RNA from 1 species
GGGUAAGAUAUUAUAUUAAAGCAGACAAUGUGCAAUUAGUUCCCCUAAAAAAUAUUAUAGUUGUCAUCUUAAAAAAAAAAAAAAAGACUAUUGCUCAGUUGAACAUUCAAUUUACAGGGUUGAGAAAUGAUUACAGAUCAAUCAAAUAUUAUAUUAUUAAAUACCACCACCAAUAUAAGCUCUCUAAUAAUCACAUAAAAAAAAUUCCUCCCUGCUCUUCUUAGUUGCCUGAAUUGGGUUAAUAACUCUUCUGUCAGUUUCCUUCUGCUAUUAUUUUGUGAUCACGGACUGCCAAGCCUGAAAAUAAGUAGGAAAAAUAUCCAAAAUAGCAAAUGUUCCUCCCAAGUAUUAGGUAUAUGGCUGCAAAUAGAGGGGGGGAAAAAACCCAGUGAAUAAAUGAAUAAUCAAUUGAUCAGAAGGUGAUUGAUAUAUCUUCAAUGAACCGUAGCCAGUCAAUAAAUAGAGCUGAAGCUUUCAAUGGGAUCAGAUUCUUCAAGCAUGGAGGCUGCCAGAAAGCAGUCUGUGGCAUCAGCCAUCCGUCCAUCAUCUUUAUGAACCAUCCCCAAGUAAUACCAUGCCAUGCGGUUUGUAGGUUCUAUCCUCAAUGCAUCUGAGAGUAUGCUUCUCGCAACAGGCAAUGCAUCAGACCCCAUCUUGGAUAACAGGGCACCAAUCAAUAUCUUGCAAGGGACAAAAGAUGGUUCAAGUAAAAGAGCAUUUGCGUAACUGCACAUAGCUUCUUGUACAUUCCCACGACCUUCAUGCAUAACACCUUCUGUAUGCAGCAAUUCUGCAGAGUACUGUUUCAAUCCUCUGGCUUUUCCCAGACAUACCUCCACAUCCUUCCAAUGUGAAAGCCUAGAGUAUAAAUCAGCUAGACCAUGCCAAACUUCAAAUUCAUUUACUUUUUCAUCCUCAACCUAUCACAAAAAAAGCAAAAGAAUAAAGACGGAAUUUGAAGGAAUUGAUUACAAUCCCUAUUUGUGAUCAUAAUGCAUCCUACAAGCAAAAAACCACUGAACUAAAAUGAUAUUAUAAAUAAACAGAUUAGCAGUAAAGCAUUUAAUUGAAAUAAAAAUGUAUCUAGAUUGAUUUUAUGGAUCUGCUUAAAAUAGAAAAAAAAGAUUAUGAGAAAUAGAAGAUGAGAAAGACAUUUUUCUUUCAGAACAAAGACAAGCAUGUAAAGAAGAAGCAGAAUCUUUGCCUGAGAAAUACUUCUCAGAGGACCAAAAGAUUUCCUUCGAGCUUGAACCAAUGCAAGAAGGUAACGAUAAGUUUCAAUAGCAUCCAUGGGUAGUGACUGUGAGAUCUUCAACUUUGCUUUUAGCCUGAGCAAUGGUCCUUGCUCCCAUUUUGCAGUCUCAUCCAAAGCAGCAUCGAUGACCACCUCAGCCUCUGAGAAUCGCUGUUGAGCAGACAAAACGAGUGCAAGCAAUCUCCAACCUUUUAAUAUGGAGCCACCAGUUGCAUCAAUGAAUUGCUUUGCAUAGCGCAAAGCUGCAUUCAAAUUUCGUUGCUCUGCAUAUUGAAUUCCCAGCUCAAAAAUCAGAUCAUGAUUGCUUGGCUCAAAUGCAACUGCACCUUCUAAUGAUUUCAAUGCUUCAGACUGAAGUCGUGACUUUUCAAAGUCAGAGGAAGAAACUUUAGCUUGCUUUCCCAAACAAAGACCCAGCAUGCGAACAGCCACACCUUUUAGAUGUUCAUCAAUCCCCUGAGCUUUUUCAAUUGCCCUUUGUGCAUAUCCCACUCCCUCUGCAGCAAGAUGAUAGUCCUCAUUACAGAUCUUGGCAGCCAACAACAAUGCCAUGAGAUCAUCAGGUCGUUCAUGUUUGUGUAGAGAGUUCCUCAAAAGGUUUAAAGCAACAUUGUUUUGUCCUGAUCCACAGUAACAAAGAGCUAAAGUGUUCCAGCGGUCAACACGAUGAAAUACCCCAGGCAUGAUCUCUUCAAGUUGUUUUGCUAAAAUAGAACUUUGGCUGCAUAGAGAUAGUGCAAAUAUGAGGUGUUCCAUAACUGAUGGAUCCCAUUUGAUUUUACCAAGGUAAAAUUUCCUAAUAAGAAUCAUCAAAAGUAAAACGGCCUCUUCCAGAUUAUGUUUAGGUACAUAUGAACCAUCAAUCUGAGCAGCUAAACUGAGUGGGCCAGCUUCCACUCCACUGUGCAGUAAAAAAACUGCAAAUCCUUUCUGAAUUCUUGCACAGCGGUCAUUAUCAAGGUUCCAUUGACUGAGGAGAGCACGUCUAUAAGCAGACAUUGCUUCAUCAUAGCGACCAGCCUGCUUCCAGAGCUCUGGAAGGAGCUCUACAGCUUGACUAACUGUACCUUGCAAUCUAUUAUCUACUUGCACAUCAGGUAUGCCCUGCUGGAAUAUCCUCUCCACAGCAUCAAGAACAUUUUUACAGUCAUUAGCAGCAUCACUUAAUCUUCCAAGUUUCUGAAGAGACUUGGCUUUUAAGUAUACUGCUUCAAGCACCAGGCCAGCAGCAUGCCAUGAAACUGCUUGCUGUGCAUCACUGCGAGAGCGUCCCUUCUUAGGAGGCUGUUUCUCAGAAAAGGAUGGUUGUAAUCUUUCUAUGGCUGCUUGUAGAUCAAUGCCAUCAAAAACACGAAGGGCACCUUCAACAUUGCCUCUUUGAUAUUCUAACCUUCCAAGAAGGGCUCUUGCUUCCUCAAAAUUUAGUUGUAACCCCUCUCUUAAAGAAGAUUCUGCCUCUUGAAUAUUUCCCUCAUCAAGCUUUGCUUCAACUUCAGUUGUUUGCAUCCAAAUCCCAUUUGCACAUAGUUCUCGAACCAGUUUUUGUUCUUCAUUCUCACUGGAUCCUGCAGAUUGGCUCCCCACCAUUUGUGCUCUCUCCCUCCCUCCUCUUUCCUCAUAAAUUUCACACUGUAACUCUAAUGCUUAAACCACGUUGGGAGUAGAACAAAACAUCUCAUCAAUAAAAGGAACCAAAAAAAAUAAUAAUAAAAAUUACCAUUUAUGAUAUAAGCAGCACAAUAAUGCUAUGCACCUAAAAGUUUUUGAAGUUGAAAACUACAAAUAAAGAGAAACAAAAAGUGGCAGCGAAUAACCAACAAUUGGAAAUUUGAAAAUCCCAUUUUUAAUACAAACUCAAAAUUUAUCUUCAACGAUUACAUUACAUUUCAAAAGAACAGAAUCCAAAAACACAAAAAUGAAAUCUUAGAUCUAAAUUGAGUGGAAAUCCAUAAUUUGCACGAUGAGAUAACAAAAACAAAAACUACGUGAAAGGAAAAGAAAAGAAAAUUUGUUAGGCAUGAUCGAUAAACGAGAAUAAACCUAAGAUCAUAAAAAGGAACGGGAUGCAAUGAACAUAACAACAUAAAGCAAAUUAUUUCUUUUUCGUUGAC